CGGGGAUUAGCGCAGCAAGGCAAGCGCGCCGCGUUCGGGACGCGGAGGUCGUGGGUUCAAAUCCCGCAUCCCCGACCA
rnacentral:tRNA from 1 species